rnacentral:hammerhead_ribozyme from 1 species
AUCCAACCAACGAGUCCCAAAUAGGACGAAACGCGCAUCCUAGAU